rnacentral:rRNA from 1 species
GUAAGGAAUAUUGGUCAAUGGACGCAAGUCUGAACCAGCCAUGCCGCGUGGAGGAUGAAGGCCCUCUGGGUUGUAAACUUCUUUUAUUUGGGAAGAAACCUAUCCUUUCUAGGGUAGUUGACGGUACCAGAUGAAUAAGCACCGGCUAACUCCGUGCCAGCAGCCGCGGUAAUACGGAGGGUGCAAGCGUUAUCCGGAUUCACUGGGUUUAAAGGGUGCGUAGGUGGGCAGGUAAGUCAGUGGUGAAAUCUCUGAGCUUAACUCAGAAACUGCCGUUGAUACUAUCUGUCUUGAAUGUAGUGGAGGUGAGCGGAAUAUGUCAUGUAGCGGUGAAAUGCUUAGAUAUGACAUAGAACACCAAUUGCGAAGGCAGCUCGCUACACUAUUAUUGACACUGAGGCACGAAAGCGUGGGGAUCAAACAGGAUUAGAUACCCUUGUAGUCC